rnacentral:rRNA from 1 species
UACGUAGGGUGCAAGCGUUGUCCGGAAUUAUUGGGCGUAAAGAGCGUGUAGGCGGCCCGAUUAGUCCGCUGUGAAAGUCCAGGGCUCAACCCUGGAAUGCCGGUGGAUACUGUCGGGCUAGAGUCCGGAAGGGGCGAGUGGAAUUCCUGGUGUAGCGGUGGAAUGCGCAGAUAUCAGGAGGAACACCGGUGGCGAAGGCGGGUCUCUGGGCAGUAACUGACGCUGAGGAGCGAAAGCGUGGGGAGCGAACAGG